rnacentral:lncRNA from 1 species
GCUGCCUGGAGUUUCUGUCUCUCGUUGAGGGUUUUGAGAUCCCUGCCCCGUGGAACCACCUGUGCCACGCGUGUGAGGAAACAUCAUUCCUUAAGCGGAGAAUUUCAGUCCUGAGAUUCAAGAAGACCUUCAGAAGCUUAAAAUGGAACAAAACAACUUGAAAGGAAAUGCAGAAGCCGUGGAUAUUUGUGACGUCAGAAAAGCCACCGAAAGGAUUGAACUUGGGCUGAGAAAACACGCUGAAAAUUAUUUAAAUGUUGUAAAUGGCCAAGAGUUAAAUCUUUCUUCAGCUGGUAAUAAAGAAGUAAAUUCCAAAGAGCCUCCUAAGUGGAAUCCUCCUUCUGGUGCCUGUCAGGAGCAGCUGGUUUUGCCUCGAGUUGAGCCUGUGACUGUGCAGAGGUGCAGCAGAUCAGCCCCUCGUGUGUGCCAGGGCUCUCAGCAGGUGGAAAUGGAUUUUAAAAUUAUGCUUGCCCCAGAGAACACAGAUAAUAAAGCUGGUUUAAAACAUCCCAAUGAUGAGACCAGGCUGCCACUUAUAACUAAGAAAAAAUCUGCUCCUGGGGAAAUGCUGUGUCCAUCAAAUCCUGACAGGAACUUCUCAACAACAAAUAUGACAGUUUGGAGAAGACAGAUGGAAUGAUAAAUUAAUCUAUUAUAUCUCUUCUUUCCCAUCACUAUCAAACCCUCAGAUUUUCUGAUGUUUAUUUACCAAAUCUCGUCUCUCAGUUCCUGGUUUGGUACACAAUACUGAUCUUUUCUCUGUAUUUAAUACCAGUCUCUCUUUUUUACUGGAGGAAAAAAAAUACUUACAAAGAUAUUUACCCAAAAAAAACCACCAACAAAAGCAUGUUCUAGUUAAAUAUUGCUAGGUAAAAAAAGAAAACAAAUCGAGAACUAAUCAGAAAAAUCCCUGUGGUGUUCCAACAAGUGCCCUAUUUAAAAUGAAGCAAAGAGGAAAAAAAUAAAGUGGGAGAGGUUUAUCCACAGGAGAAAAACACUUUAGAAAGGGUAAUAGAAUUGUUUUUCUCGUGUCCCAGGUUAAUUACACUCAGAAGCACUUGAAAUGAAAAAAUAGUUUUUUAGCACACUCCAAGCAUAUUUUAAGGCAAGUCAGCCUUGGUCUGCCCUGCGGUUUAAGAGCUCCCUUCCAGCCCUGCAAAACUGAAUUUUAAAAGUGCUCAUGAUGAAGCAGUGAUGUUAAAAAUAAUCCUUCCCCUUGCAGUACUCUUAAUAUUAAAUUUUUGAGCCCUUAUUAUAAUUGCGUUGGUUCAAUUUUAUUGAGAGUAACUCCCAAAAUGGAAGCAGUUUGGCACUUUUGCUUUGGUGUCUCCCUGAAUUCUUCCAGAGGGAGCCAAUGCAGCGAUCAGGGGGCUGGAGGAAGGUGGAAAUGUGGAAGGAUUGGGUGGAAUUUUCGUGGGGAGCUGUUUUGGAUCAGCUCUGGGGUUCCACUGUGUUGCCUGUCCCACUGAAUGAUGGCACUGGGCAGUGUAAAUGAGAGAUUAAAUUACAUUGCUGCUGCAUCAGUCCUUGUUUUAACAUCACACCUGCUGUGGGCUUUAUGGAAAUUAAAGGAUACAGCAAAAAAAAGAAUUAAAUAUCUAUCUCCAAUUUUAAAAAAGCCAAACCAAAACCAAGCCUCCAGGCUGCUUUUGAACCCACACACUCCACCUGAACUGCUGGUCCUUGUAGCUCAUUACAUCUCUAUGAAUACAAUGAAAACAAAUGUAUUUCAUGUGCUGUUUAUCAUAACAAAACCUCAUAACUGGGAUUUAAAUUAGGAUAAAACUGACCAGAAGUUAAAUCAGUGCUGCCUCACUGCUACACCAGCUACAGUCUGGAAAAAAGGAAAUCACUGUUUAAUUCAAUUUCUUGCCUUUUAUGUAUUUUUGUUGUGGCCUCACCAAAGUGCUGGGGCUGAGGGGUGAGCAGGAAAAUGUGCUUUAUGAUUUCCUUUUCUCAAUAUCAAACCACUUCCAUGGCAGCUGGCACAAAGUUAACCUUUGCUCCAUGGUUAUUGCUGUUUUCUUGGAACACCAGGACGUGAGGAUUCAUCCAGCUCCAUCCCUGAAAACACAAUGUUCCAUCAUGGCCAGAACUAAAACGAGGGCCUGGGAUUUCUCUGAACGGUUCUCUAUGAUGAUAAAAAGUGCAGAUUUUCUCUCCCUCUUGUGGGCAGUGUUUUGAGACAAUUUGGGAGGAAGGAUUAGAAUAGUUAAUUUUGCUCUGUCUCCCUUCCCUUCUGAGAGUUCCUUCUCCCUUCCUAGAAAGCUGCUGGGUGCUGUUAUUCAAUAAUUAGGGCACAACGGUGCUCCAAGAUCCCACUCAUGGCCUGGAUUGUACUAAAAGCUUGACAAUCACUCAUUUAAAAGCUCAUCUUUCAAAGUAUUUCUUUUUCCUUCUGGUUCUUUGCCUGUGUGUAUGCAUUUUAUAUUUUUUAACACUCUCCUGUCAAGAAACACUGUAUUUACACUCCUUAAAACUGAGCAAACUUCCUGAGAUUCCUUCAUUAAAUAGUACACAAGGCAUCAAUUAAAUUUAAUUAACUUUAU